rnacentral:misc_RNA from 1 species
GAGUAUUUGAAUUUGAACCUACCUGUGUGUGGGUUCAAACAAAUCUGACUUUGUGGUAACAAUGAAAAAAAAAUAGGAUUGGGUUUAAAGAUGAUGCUUUUAAAGAAAUUUAGAGGUAUCGACCCAAGCUGCUUUUAUUCAACUCUCUUAUUAUUUGACUGAAUUUAUCAAGUUAAACCAUUUCGGUUUAAAAAAAAAGUUUAAA